CUUCCCACAAUAAUCCACAUCAGCCUUUGACAGUUACAGUGUUUCUUCUUCCAAUUUUCUAUUUCCUUUAUUUCAUUCAAUCCAAUUUUAUCGUUCACAACCAUUCAUCAGCGGUUACAAUCACGAAACGUUUCAAUCUUCAUAUCCAACCAUCCUUUCUCAUCCUUUCUCUCAUCCUUUCUCUCUCGCACGGGUAACAAAAUUUCCCCAAAUUCUAACCCUUUUCUUCUUCAAUCGAUCCCUAUUGUGAUUUUGUUCUUCUUCUGCUUCUCUUCUCUGUAACAUUAAUUGUGGAAAUGGAAGAACGAAUUUGAUGGCUUCGAACCAUUGAACUAACAAUUACUUAAAGCCAUUUGGAAUCGAUGAAGAUUCUUCCAUCUGGUGCUGAUAAAAUUCCUCAUUUGAAUGUUGUAAUUCUCGGUGAAAAUAUUGCUAACGAAGAAGAAGAUUAUGUUCUUCCCAGCGAAGAAUUCGCUUCCAAAGCACAUGUUCGAUGACCGGAACAGUAUCUGCAGAUGUAUAAGAGAUCCAUUGAGGAUCCUGCUGAAUUUUGGUCUGAAAUUGCAUCUGACUUGAAACUGAUACGAAAACUGAUAUGGAAACUGUACAACAAUUGGUGUUUCCGGUGUUGCGGAUCCGUCAACAAGCUUCCAUUUGCACCCUGAUCGAAGCAAUUAUUGGGUUUUGUUUGAAUUUUCAGAUAAGGAAGAUUGUUGCUGCAAGAAUUGGAGACUCGGAUAACUGGUUUUGUUGAUAUGGGAUCAGGGAGUAUUGCUCUGAUGGUUGAGACAUUGAAAAUCAGGUUAGACAUUUAUAAAUGGUUCAUAUUUAGACAUUUAUACUCAUU